rnacentral:rRNA from 1 species
CUGGCCUACGGGAGGCAGCAGUGAGGAAUAUUGGUCAAUGGGCGGGAGCCUGAACCAGCCAAGUCGCGUGAGGGACGACGGUCCUAUGGAUUGUAAACCUCUUUUGUCGGGGAACAAAGGCGCCCACGGGUGGGCGGAUGAGUGUACCCGAAGAAAAAGCAUCGGCUAACUCCGUGCCAGCAGCCGCGGUAAUACGUAGGUGGCAAGCGUUAUCCGGAUUUACUGGGUGUAAAGGGCGUGUAGGCGGGGGAGC